rnacentral:rRNA from 1 species
GUGCCAGCAGCCGCGGUAAUACGAAGGGACCUAGCGUAGUUCGGAUUUAUUGGGCGUAAAGAGCUCGUAGGCGGUUCAACAAGUCGGUCGUGAAAGUUCAGGGCUCAACCCUGAAAUGUCGAUCGAUACUGUUGUGACUAGGAUACGGCAGAGGUGAGUGGAAUUCCGAGUGUAGCGGUGAAAUGCGUAGAUAUUCGGAGGAACACCAAUUGCGAAGGCAGCUCACUGGGCCGCUAUCGACGCUGAGGAGCGAAAGCUAGGGGAGCAAACAGGAUUAGAUA